rnacentral:rRNA from 1 species
AGCGAACGCUGGCGGCAGGCCUAACACAUGCAAGUCGAACGAACCUUUCGGGGUUAGUGGCGGACGGGUGAGUAACACGUGGGAACGUGCCUUUAGGUUCGGAAUAACUCAGGGAAACUUGUGCUAAUACCGAAUGUGCCCUCCGGGGGAAAGAUUAAUCGCCUUUAGAGCGGCCCGCGUCUGAUUAGCUAGUUGGUUGAGGUAAUGGCUCACCAAGGCGACGAUCAGUAGCUGGUCUGAGAGGAUGAUCAGCCACAUUGGGACUGAGACACGGCCCAAACUCCUACGGGAGGCAGCAGUGGGGAAUCUUGCGCAAUGGGCGAAAGCCUGACGCAGCCAUGCCGCGUGAAUGAUGAAGGUCUUAGGAUUGUAAAAUUCUUUCACCGGGGACGAUAAUGACGGUACCCGGAGAAGAAGCCCCGGCUAACUUCGUG